AAUUUUUGCUAGUCAUUUUCCCUCUCUCGCGGUGAAACUGUUAGUGCAAGAUUAUUUUGAAUUAUACAAAGAAGGUACUUUACGGGAGACAUCGAGUCAUAUUUUAUACGGAAGAAAAACAAUAUCUACAAUUCUUUAACACUUUUGCUUGGUCAACGAUAACAGAGGAUGAGUUAUUAAUAGUGAGAUACACAUUAAUAGACCAAGAGAACAACAACAGCGAAAGUUGACUCAUAGAAAAAAUGCACGAUUCCAAUUCUUGUCAUAAGAAUACAUCAACCGAUCGAUUCAGAUGCGAUCGUAAAGAGCAUAUCAAUGCACUCUCGUUGUUUUUUUCUGGCUUACGAUCGCCAAAUCACGAACAACAGAUCGAGACGGGACGUCAAUUGAUAUCUUGAAUCGUGCACAAGAAUAGCUGGAGAAUAAAAAUCACGAAUUCUAUUUCGUCUUUCGACCGAAAAUUACCUCCGCUGAUCGGGGGUCCAUGUAACCGUCGUCAUCUUCUCGCCUUGUCGUUUCGAAACGAUCAUUGUCAUGCCGGCCUCAAAGGUAUGCAAAGUAAAUCGUUAUAUCUUUCGUUAUUUUUCUCUUAUUAUUUUCUUUUAAAACACAACACAUAUCAUACGUUCAACAAUUUUUAGUUCAGCUACACUUAAUGAUCCUUUAAUAAUUGGUUAAACGCAUGGCGAUUUUGUCCCUUUACUUAAUCGAUUCGAUAGUAGUCUAGAGAGUUAACUUGUUAAAACAUUAGCCUCGGAAAAUGACAGGCGAGGAUGUCGGAUUUUUCGCGCGAUUGUGCUACGAUUCGAAUAUUCGUCCAAAUGAUCCGUCUGACUGCUCUUUUCGGUCAAUUGUACACAUACGUACGACUGAAGGUCUUUCUUUUUUCUCGAAAAAUCAACAUGAACUUCGACUUUCAUUGAGUAUUCAUUAGGUACUUAUCAGACCUCCGAAUAUCCCGCAGCGUUAAUAUUGUUAAUAUCGCUAUCACGCGCGCGAAAAUUCCUCUUCAUACCAAGUUAUUAUAAAAGGAUCAUAUGUUAUCGCAUUAAGGGAAGGAGAGCACAAAUACAGUUACCAAAAAAUGAUCGCGUCGAGCGUUAUAUACUUAUUAAAAAUUUUCUUCGGGUAAAGAAUACCAUUAUUUUUCGGUGUUAUAUCAGUAAUGUAUUUGUAACAAUUCAUUUUUCACAUAAAAUAUCGUAGUACGGGUAGAGACAUACAGAUUUACAUAUUGCGGGAUACUCGGGUAUCCACUGUGAGCACCCAAUAUAUAACGUCCGUUGGAGAUCUGCGUGGGCUUCGUUAGGUUCGGGCGGCAAGGAGCAGAAAUUUUUGCAAGGUAUAUCGUCGAGCAUCCGUCACCCUUCCUUAUCCCGCGAUU